CCUACGGGGGGCUGCAGUAAGGAAUAUUGGUCAAUGGAGGAAACUCUGAACCAGCCAUCCCGCGUGAAGGAUGAAGGGGCUCUGCCUUGUAAACUUCUUUUGUCUGGGGCGAAACAGCUCGAUUUAUCGAGAACUGACGGUACCAGCAGAAUAAGCACCGGCUAACUCCGUGCCAGCAGCCGCGGUAAUACGGAGGGUGCAGGCGUUAUCCGGAAUCACUGGGGUUAAGGGGUGCGUGGACGGCUGAGUAGAACGGCUGGGGCUUAACCAUGGAAUUGCCAUUGAGACUGCAGAGCUUGAAUGAGGUUGAGGUUGGCGGAAUGUGACAUGUAGCGGUGAAAUGCUUAGAUAUGUCAUGGAACACCGAUUGCGAAGGCAGGUGACUGGACCGAUAUUGACGCUGAGGCACGAAAGCGUGGGGAGCGAACAGGAUUAGAUACCCGUGUAGUC
rnacentral:rRNA from 1 species